rnacentral:lncRNA from 1 species
GUUUGGCUCACUCCUUAGCGAGCUGUUGGAGAGGGUUUGGCUCACUCCUUAGCGAGCUGCGAUUUUCACUCCUUUGCGAUCCUGUGCUUCAUUGAAAUGGAGCAACGAGGUGAAGGCGAGCGUGGGGACUGGCCAGCUUUGGUUAGGGAAACAGUUUCCCUGGUGCUCUUCACCGUGGUUGUGGUGCCCUUCGGCGUUUACUGCAUUGGAAACGCUGUUGAAGGGGUCAGGACGGCGGCAGGACUGACUCCAAGGUAAAAAACAAAACAAUCUCCCUUUGGCUAGACCGUUCUUGAGAGGAGCUCUGCCCCUUGUCCGUGACCACUUCUUACCCGAGUCACACUUCUAUGGCACAGUGCCUGUGCUUCUCCCAUUAAACCCAGUUCUCUAACUCCAGCUUUUCUCCUUCAAGCGCAAUACUAAGGCUUUCCACGAUCCCCCAGAGUUACCCAGGAAGCACCUUCUUGGUUGGGAUCUCGUGGAGCUUGCCAACCAGCGUAGUCAAGUCUCAACUGAAUCUUGGCUACCCCGUUGUCACGCGCAGUGAGGCUUGUUCGCUGCCUCACAGUGCCAUGGCUUGUGAGAGGAGAGCCGUGUCCACUUCUCAUCCCGACCUAGUACCUUCUGUCUCCCAGGCCGUUGUUAGGGAAGUUUGUGUUAAUCUGGAAAUGCUGAGCCGCGAAGAAGAGCAGAAUAAGAUCCAGCGGCAGCUUCAUUUCCUGCAGUCUCGUUGGGGGAGCGAAGGACAUAUUACUGUGCUUGAUUGCCUCGCCAAAAGGUUCUUCCAAGAUCAAUGAGCGUCCCAGGCCAACUACUUCACCGGCGAGGCUGUUCAAGACAUGAUCAAUCAAGUACUGGAGAAGCUGGAAGAAAGCCCAUUCCGGAUGCCGAAUUAUGCCAGCAAGACUUCAGGCGCUGCUGCUAUCGUUCAUUCUCCAAGACUUCUCCCUCCUGGACUGGAAGUGGAAAGUCUUUUUGUUGUCCCACUUUCAUGUUAGAGUUUGCUGUGCCGGUACACUAUGAUGAGGGCCCCUGAGAUAC